rnacentral:lncRNA from 1 species
AUAUUAUAUAUAUAUUUACACACAAUGUACUUACAUACGUAUAUUGAAAAUGUUUCUAACUUUUCAGCCAGUUAUUUCAUUUCCAGGAGUCUAGCCAAAGGAAAUUAUCAGUUACAAUCAAAAUAUAUUUACAUACAGACUUGUUCAUCGCACCAUUAUAAUAGUGAAAAAUAAGAAACAACAUGAAGACCCCAAAAUAAGGAAUAAUUGGAUAAACUAUAGCAUUUUCACAGAAUGAACUAUUACUUAAUACUCCGGGAGAAACCCAGGUGUGGUGCAGGGGGGAGCACUAGUGCUGCUGAGUGUUCAUAAGUGUUUGGUGACAAGAUAUUUUCCUAGUCUAACGAGAUGGAGAAAUACUGGGUUAAACAAACUUAAGCAGAUUUCCUUUGAUAAGCUAAUGUGUAUGAUGAAUCUCCAAUAGAUGAUCUUUUUAUAUGCAGCAGUUCUCAAAUUUAACUCUAGUACCUUCUUUUCAAUAAUUUCUUGAGAAUAAUUUCUCUAGAACACAGUCUAGGAAAUGAUGCAUCUCACCAUCCUACACUAUUCCAUGUCUCAAUACUCUCAUCCCUGGAAUCACAAGAGAAAUGAUAAGUUGUGUAACAAUUCAUAAGAUGGGUGGGGUUGUGGUUAUAUAUAGAUGCUGUCCUGCUAUUAAAAAUAAUCAGAGCCAGUGCUGGCACCAUGGCACAGUGGUUAAGUUUAUGCCCUCUGUUUCAACAGCCCGGGGUUUGUGGGUUCAGAUCCUGGGCACAGACCUACACACUGCUUAUCAAGUGAUGCUGUGGCAGCAUCCCACAUACAAAAUAAAGGAAGAUUUCCACAAAUGUUAGCUCAGGGACAAUCUUCCUCAAGCAAAAAGAGGAAUAUUGGCAAAAGAUGUUAGCUCUGGGACAAUCUUUCUCACCAAAAAAAUAAAAAAUAAUCAGAGCCAAGCAUACCACAGUGGGCCAGGCUUUUUGCCCACCCCAGCACCAGUGGACUCGAUACAACUCAGCUUUGCCAAUCACCAAAGUGGGACACUUGAGCAGUAUCCCAGGGGUUAGAGAAGUUGGUCGCUCAACCAGCUCAUCCUUUCCUGGAUGCUGAUCAAUAUGAAGUGGAUUCACUCAUCCAAGAAAAGACAACUUCAUCUGUCCUCUCAAAAAUCUUUUGUAGAGAGUGACAUCAGCAUCAUGGCAGAGUAAGCUCUCCCGUUAGACUCUCCUCCCUAAGAUACAAUGAAAAGGACAUUCAUAAGCCAACAGAGGACAUUCACACAACACAAUAGAUGUCUGAGAGGUCCUCACAGCCAUACAUCUGAAUGCAGGUGUGCUGGACCCUCCUGGGAGGCAGUGGAAGGAGGUAAGCAGAUCUCCUCUCACUCCCUAGCAGCAGCAAUCUAGGACCUCAUUCAGCUGCCAGUGCAAGACAUUGAGAGGAGAAGGGGAAAAAGGCAGCCCUCCACAGGAGGACUUGCACCUCAGAGUUGCCUCCCAGCCUGUGGUGCACCAGGCGGGAGGGGCAUGGGGUGCUUUCUUUUCUGUGCACAAUCCCACACGCCCCUGCUCUGCACUUGCUGUCUGCCCACCUGGUCUGCUCAGCUUGGUGUGGAUGCCCCCAUGAUUGCUUAGCUGUGGUUUUGGAUUCAGGGUGUGGAGCUACCCUGCUCAUCAGCCAUGCUGUGGAGGCAUUCCACAUACAAAGUAGAGGAAGAUUGGCACAGAUGUUAGCUCAGAGCUAAUCUUUCUCAAGCAAAGAAGAAAAAAGAGGAAGAUUGGCAAUCGAUGUUAGUUCAGGGUGAAUCUUCCACAUCAAAAACAAAGAAAGAGUAAAUAGAGCUGAUAUUAUGGAGGACAGAAUCAAUAAUUUAGAGGACAGAAAUGUAGAAAUGCUGAAGAUGGAGGAGGCAAGAGAACUAAGACUAAAAAGAAAUGAAGAAAUUCUCCAAGAAAUAUCUGACUCAAUUAGGAGAUGCAACAUAAAGAUUAUAGGUAUUCAAGAGGGAGAAGAGAGGGGGAAAUGAGCAGAGAGCUUCUUCAAAGAAAUAAUAGCUGAGAACUUCCCAAACCUGCAGAAGGAGCUGGAAUUACAUGUAGAUGAAGAUAAUAGAACUUAUAAUUAUGUCAAUGUAAACAGACCUUCUCCAAGGCAUAUAUUAGUAAAACUGGCAAAAGUCAAUGACAAAGCAAAACUAUUAAGAGCAGCAAGGCAGAAGAAAAUAACCUACAAAGGAACCCCUAUUAGGCGUUCAGCCAAUUUCUCAGCAGAACCCUGCAGGAUAGGAGAGAGCGAAAUGAUAUAUUCAAAAUCCUGAAAGACAAAAGCUUUCAGCCAAGAAUACUCUAUCUUGUGAAACCAUCCUUCAGAUAUGAUGGAGAAAUAAA